UUUGGCCCCAGGCAAGUUGUCUCAGGCCCCUUCAGAGGCUCAGGCCCCCAGUCACAGAGGCUGUGGGAGGUGCCCAUCACCUGGGGCCUGUCAGGGAGGGAUGAGACAGCAUUGUGCUUUAAAGAGCAUCCCGACCCUAUCAGCAAGAGAUGAGAUAUCCUAAUUACGGCAGUACAGGCGAGGAUCCGGGCUGUAUCAGCCAGUACAGAAAGGAUCACACCGAGAAGCAUCUGCGAGGCGGCUGCACAGCUCAGGGGAAGGCAGCUUCACUCAAUCAGCCUCGGCUUGUGCUUCAUGGACAAGGGAAACUGAGGCAGGACAGCACCAUGGACAGU